rnacentral:tRNA from 1 species
AGUCUAGUGGUUAUGAUUUGCGGCUCUCACCCGCAAGGCCCGGGUUCGAUUCCCGG